AUUACCUUGUAGCUCUGGAGAUGAGAAGCCCCAAAUCAGGGUGUCAGCGGGCCAUGCUGUCUCUAAAACCUGGAGGAGAAGCCAGUGCCCUCAGAAGUGCAGACGGAGAAGAUCGUUGCAUUGAUUCAGUGCUCAAAGCUGACAGGCCCAAGAUUUCUGCAUUUCUCUUAGCCUUUUCCUGCGGGGCCAUAUGACAAUUGUUAGAGAUGCAGCCACUAAGACAGAAUUUCCUGCAGGAAAAGAGGUUAAAAUAGAUAACGCAAAGAGAAAUAGGAGACAGGUGUAUUAGAAAUACAAAAGUUUUGCCAGUAUUCCCAGCAGACUCACACUUGUGCCUAGUCGGCUCAUGUUGUGUUACAGCGCCAUCAUAAUUGCAGUACAGCCUGGUGACUACAGUUUUAAAGCUGGGUACAUUGCUGUUCCAAAUUAAAUUGGGGAUUGGUUUUUAACAAAGGACCUAGCUUGACUAUGCUAUUCAGGAUCUAUGCAUCCACAUUCAGAUAAUAUAAACUCUCUUAGCUGUUUUACCAAAAUGUAUUUAUUUCAUAAAGGGAAUUGUGUAUUUAUAGAAAGUAUCAACGGCUUGAGGAAUAGCAAUAAUCUUUAUUUUCCGGAAUGACUUUUGAAACAAUGUUCCUAUCAACAGAACCAGCCUGUCAAAAGAUGUGCUACUUCUGCUUCAGUCAGAAAAUUGCCGAAUUAAAUGUUGGCCCCUGAGUCAUACUCCAUUGGUCAUAAUCUUGGAAUAGUGAAGCCACUGCUGUAAUUGUUAGAUCCAGAACUGCACUGCUCCAGGCCUAAUGCAUGGAUCUCACGUCUUUUCUAAAUAUCGCACUUGAACUGGUCUCAAAUUCAAGUCUCAUAUGAACCAAAUAAGAUAGAAACCAAAUCACAACACAAAGCCUAUCUGUAGAAAAGGUUCAGAAUAUAGGCCAGGCGCGGUGGCUCACCCAUGUCAUCCCAGCACUUAGGGAGGCAGAGGUGGGCAGAUCACAAGGUCAGGAGAUCGUCACCAUCCUGGCAACAUGAUGAAAUCCCGCCUCUACUAAAAAUACAAAAAAAUAAGCUGGGCGUGGUGGUGUGUGCCUGUAAUCCCAGCUACUCAGGAGGCUGAAGCAGGAGAAUUGCUUGAACCCGGAAGGCGGAGAUAGCGGUGAGCCGAGAUCCUGCUACUGCACUCCAGCCUGGUGACAGAUCGAGAAUCCGUUUCAAAAAAAUAAAAAAUAAAAAAAUAAAGAAAAAGUUAAGAAUAUAAUUUGUAACUUCUAAGCCUCCACAUGCAGAAUGGUGUACCAGAAAACUGUUGAGAAGUUUGUAUGACCAUAUAUACUACAAUUAUGCAAAAAUAAAAUUAUAUUUUAGUAAAUUAUAUUAUUUAACCAUUACAUUACAUUAGUAAAAGAUGAAAUCACAUUAUAGUUCUUUGAAAUCAUGAUGAUUUAAAGGAUAAACUAGAAAAUGCUUUCUCUAUUGUCAAGACCACCCAAGGUAGUUCAUUCUCUCUUUAAAAAGCCAUGCCUGGGUUACCAGCUCAUUCUUCUGAUUCAUUCCCUGUCUCUUACCUUAUUUCCUUCACAGCACUCUUUCUAGAGUAAUUAGAAAGUGGGGAAAGUAACUAUUAAAUAAAGUAAUUUUACUCUUUUUAAAAUUUUUUGCAGCUCAUUGUCCAGUAGAGCAUCAACAUUGAGUUCCCAACUGUGCAUAUGAGGUUCUGCCAAACUCUCUUCUUCCAACAUUCCUUGUUUUAUUCCUGAAAACACUUCCAAACAUUUUAUGUUCUAACACUAGACAUCCUAUAGUUCUCUACACACUUCUUUGUUUCCCAAAUCCAUAAAUUGACUUUUGGAGUUCUUUUAUAUUUGUCUCACAUAUUUUCCAAGCUAAAUUUAUUCACCUCUUCAGAUAUAGCUCUGCCAUCACAGCCUAUUAGAUGCCUUCCCUAACACGACGGUCUUUCACUUAACUUUCUUUCUACUCUCCUUAAGAACAGCUCCCAAUACUAUUUGAAAAUAUCUGUCACUGGCUGGGCACGAUGGCUCACACCUGUAAUCCCAGCACUUUGCGAAGAAAAGGUAAAAUAUUCACUUGUACUGGGGAAAAGAAGAAGACAAUGUGAUGGUUUAUGUGUCAACCUGACUAGGAUAAAGGAUGACCAGAUAGCUGGUAAAACAUUAUUUCUACGUGUGUCUGUGAAGGUGUAUCUGGAAGGGAUUGGCAUUUGCAUUGGUGGACUGAGGAUUGUGCUGCCCAGUUUGGGUAGGCUUCAUUUAAUCCAUUAAGGGCCUUGAAUAGAACAGAAAGGUAGAGGAAUGGCAAAGUCACUUUGUCUCUCCCUUACAGAACUGGGACAUCCAUCUUCUCUUGUUUUCAGACAUUGGAGCUCCUGGUUCUUGGGCCCUUGAACUCAGAUGGAGAUUUACAUCACUGACUCCCUUUCUUAGACCCUUGAACUAUGACUGAGACUUAAACCAAGACUUUCUCUUGUUCUCAGGUCUUUGGGUUUGGACUGGAACUACACCUCUGGCUUUCCUGGGUCUCUUGUAAAUGUCAUAUUGUGAGACUCUCAGCCUUUGUAAUCACA
rnacentral:lncRNA from 1 species